UAAGGAAUAUUGGGCAAUGGAGGCAACUCUGACCCAGCCAUGCCGCGUGGAGGAUGAAGGCCCUCUGGGUUGUAAACUUCUUUUACGGGGGACGAAACCUCUUUAUUCUUAAAGAGUUGACGGUACCCUGGGAAUCAGCACCGGCUAACUCCGUGCCAGCAGCCGCGGUAAUACGGAGGGUGCAAGCGUUAUCCGGAUUCACUGGGUUUAAAGGGUGCGUAGGCGGGCAGGUAAGUCCGUGGUGAAAUCUCCGAGCUUAACUCGGAAACUGCCAUGGAUACUAUUUGUCUUGAAUACUGUGGAGGUGAGCGGAAUAUGUCAUGUAGCGGUGAAAUGCUUAGAGAUGACAUAGAACACCAAUUGCGAAGGCAGCUCACUGCGCAGUGAUUGACGCUGAGGCACGAAAGCGUGGGGAUCAAACAGG
rnacentral:rRNA from 1 species